UACAUAGGGACCGAGCGUUGUCCGGAAUCAUUGGGCGUAAAGAGCGUGUAGGCGGCCACUUAAGUCCUGCGUGAAAUCUUGCGGCUCAACCGCAAGCGGUCGUGGGAAACUGGGUGGCUAGAGUGCGGGAGAGGAGGGUGGAAUUCCUGGUGUAGCGGUGGAAUGCGCAGAUAUCAGGAAGAACACCCGUGGCGAAGGCGGCUCUCUGGAACGCAACUGACGCUGAGACGCGAAAGCGUGGGGAGCAAACAGG
rnacentral:rRNA from 1 species